rnacentral:rRNA from 1 species
GACGAACGCUGGCGGCGUGCUUAACACAUGCAAGUCGAACGAUGAACCCGGAGCUUGCUCCGGUGGAUUAGUGGCGAACGGGUGAGUAACACGUGAGUAACCUGCCCUUGACUCUGGGAUAACUGCGGGAAACUGUAGCUAAUACCGGAUACGACCCUCGGCGGCAUCGCCAGGGGGUGGAAAGAAUUUCGGUCAAGGAUGGACUCGCGGCCUAUCAGCUAGUUGGUGAGGUAACGGCUCACCAAGGCGACGACGGGUAGCCGGCCUGAGAGGGUGACCGGCCACACGGGGACUGGGACACGGCCCAGACUCCUACGGGAGGCAGGAGUGGGGAUUAUUGCACAAUGGGCGCAAGCCUGAUGCAGCAACGCCGCGUGAGGGAUGACGGCCUUCGGGUUGUAAACCUCUUUUAGUAGGGAAGAAGCGAAAGUGACGGUACCUGCAGAAAAAGCACCGGCUAACUACGUGCCAGCCGCCGCCGUAA